rnacentral:lncRNA from 1 species
CUGAUAUCCUAGCAAUCAAGUCACAUUUAAAGAUCAGGAGGAAAACAAUGUAACAGCUUUUUAAGUGGCAGCCAGGUUACUCAAAAGUGUGGAUCAAUUCCUGACAAAACCUGAAUUACCAUAUUAACAAGAUCUAAAAUCCAGUAGCAGAAAUAACAGAGAGCAAGAAUAAACUUCUCUAGGUGCCCAUUCAUCCCCAAAUCUUUACUGAUUGCUAAUCUUUCUGCAGAGCUGAAGUCGAUUCCUUUAAAGAUCCUUAAUAUUCCGGUCCUCG